ensembl:lncRNA
GCGUCCGGCCCCGCAGCUUCUCCAGGACCCAGCAGCCUCCCUUCCUCCCUCCCUCCGAGGAAGCAAAGCCCAAAACCUGGCGGCGGAGGACACGCGGCACCUCUCGCAUCCUUCCUCUCGGCGCAAGACGGGGCGCGUUCCCAUGCGCGGAGUUUGCGCGGAGGCGAAGGGGCCGGCACCUGGCCGCCCCGGGGAACCGCAGCUGCUUUGAAACUCGGUGAUCUGAUGAGAUGAAGGUCACUGAAAUUUCCUUCCUUUUCCCUCUGCUUUGGAAAUGACUUCUGUCUUAAGGCCCUGGAGGGUGAAGCUCUUCUAACUCAAGACAAAGGUUCUUCACAUGAGAGAUUAAUCCGUUUCCCCGUAAUUAAAUAAACAACACUCUCUACGUGGCUAUAUAGAAUAAACUAAAAUGAAGAAAGAACAUGUUGUGGAAAAUAUGGAGAAGUACAACUAGAGAAGUGCAACGUACUUCAGCAGAAUCCAGGCAUUAGCAUCUCCAAGGAGUCUUCUGGGCAGUGACAAUAGUGGGAUGCAGACCCAAGCUGGCCUGGAUUUACACCCUUGGUCCCCUGGAGAAAUCAUUGAAGUUUAAUUUUAGUAAAUUUGUACCGUGCUCAAAAUAAACCAAGAGGUAGUUCCACAAACGGGUUCAAAUGCAGGAACUGCUGUUGUGAUGGAGCUCUGGAUGUCCCUUUCAGUACCAUCACCUGGCAUUUGAAAGCUUGUCAUGGAAAUUCAGAAGGGAAUUGUUUCAAGAGGGUGUGCUGUGAUCGCUGUUUCUUCUGGUGUCACACUGAAAGGAAUACAAGAUUUUAGGCCAAGCCAUAAUGGUUGCAGUGGAGAGCUCCUGGAAGCGCAUGGUUUCUGCGUGCCGAUUUCUGCUGCCAUCAGACACAUGGUAAAUCCUGAAACUGCUGCAGGUUGGAAGCUGUCCCAGGCAGGGCACAAAAGGGAGACUGGGAAUCACAGGCUGGAAUCAAAACCCCUACAUUUAGUGACAAAUCUUGGACAGAAACUCAAGCCUCAGAAGACAGAGGAGCUCUGCUGGUAUUAUCUGGUAAUGUGAAGCUAACUACAGAUAAGAAGGCUCUCUGUGUCCAGAAAAGAAGCCAUUGGAUUGGAUUAUAUCAGACUGAGACAUGAAGGAUUAGUGAACAGGCAGCCUGACAGCACUGCUUUGUUUGUUACAUGCAUCCAAACCAGCGUGUUUGUAAAUGAAACGUGCAAUUUGGAGAUGAGUCAUUAAGGAUGGCUUUGGGGAUGUCUGGAUGCCCAGAGCUGGGGUUUUGACACCUGUGAACCUGUAAAGAUGCAAUUUUUCUUUUUCAAAUCCUUUGUAACAUCUUCCUUAAUCUUUUGCACAAUUCUCCUCCCAGACCUGGAAGUCUGAAUGGAAACGACAACUUGCUCCUCUUCUGGCUAACUAGGACCAGAGCACAGAAGUUUCCCAAGGGAAAAAAUGAUGAGCUGGCUUCCCCCACAUCUGUUCUGUUUGUCUCCAUUUUUGCUCUUUUACUGUCUAAUCUGCUCUACUGAACUGCCAAUCAUCUCCCGGGGAUGCUUUCUCUGCUUGACAGCCAGUAAGGCCAUCUGAUUUCAGGCCUCCCUGAGUGUGUGUGCUUGCAGGCCCUGGGGCUGAGAUGCACAGUCUGGAGGCUGGGCCUGGGCAGAAGGUGGCUGCUCAAAGAGUGCCCUGCAGUGAUUCCCACCUUCAUUACCACUGUGCAGCUGUUUCAGAGCUCAGAGAGGUUCAAGGAUAAUGGAGGAGCAUUGCCCUCCUUCUGCUGACCUAUUUCCCCACCUUGCUCAGCUCUGGAAGAGCUGGUGGCCAACUUGCCUCUGGCUCACCUCCAUCAACUCCAUUUAUUUCAGGAUGUUAGGUUGCUGCACAUGGAACCCUCAGUGAUGGAAAGAUCACAUGACUUUCCUUUACUCAGAGACAUGAUUUUAUCUUAUCAGCCACUGUGUCAGAUUUUCAUACUUUAUUCUAUAAUGGUGGGUGAGCGUGGGCCCCUACAGUUCCCAGAAUUCAGCAGCUUUAUAAGAAGAAAAUAACUGGACAGAACAAAUUCCCUUUAACUUCAGUGAAAAUGGGCCCAGACUGAUAAUUCUGAGGUAGAGAGAUUCGAAGCACCUAUUCUUUGCUGUUUUAUUUUUUUAAAGUAUUUUAUUCUGAAGCAGCGGAUGUUACUUUCAUGGCAGGAAGCAUUAUAAGAACACUAAAAGGGUUAGGAACUUAGCUAGACUUGAGGAGAUUUAAAAGCCCUAUUCCUCUGUACAGCUCUAUCAUACCACAUUUCCUUCUCCAUCCCAUAAAACACUAACUUCUAUAAUUGCCUAAUUCUCGUACAUUUGCGAAGUAAUCAAUAGAAUGAAAAAGCUUCUGUUCAUGUGCCUCGGGAAUGCUGAUAUUACAUAAAAAUAGGUGCAAAUCAAACAUACGUCUCAAGCUCCUAAAGUGACAUGGAGCCACAUUCAAUUCCUGCACUACAAGCUACUGAGGCUACAAAAUGUAGUAGAAAUGCAGAGCACAAAGGAGAAGCAUGCCAGCCUCUUUAGAAAGCUGUGCCUAUCAUUGGCAAUGGCUGGUUGGCAUUCAUGUCUCUCAGUCCUUUGACUGAUUUGUUUCUGAGGUGUAACGGCUGCCUACGGGUUGUACCUACACUAGUGAAUCCAAUGUGACACACAGCCAGAACAUUGCAGUACACUGCUUCUUGUACUAAUAAAUAUUUAAGCAUGCAACCUAAGUGCUUCUUCAGCAUCAGUUCCUUCUCUGCUGCAAGUGGCAUAUAACAACUAGCAAACCACUGUUUAAAAAGGAAAAUAAAAAAGGCCACU